rfam:Ixodes scapularis strain Wikel colony gcontig_1108379608230, whole genome shotgun sequence.
UCCUCGUUAGCUCAGUUGGUAGAGCGCUCCACUGGAAAUAGAUAGAUCCCUCGUUCGAUACCAGGACCAGGCG